rnacentral:rRNA from 1 species
AGUGGCGAACGGGUGAGUAACACGUUGGUGACCUACCCUGGAGAGGGGGACAACCACUGGAAACGGUGGCUAAUACCCCAGAUGUCAUUGUGUUUAGAAAACAAUGACUAAAGUAAUGGACUUUGUCCAUCGCGCUUCGGGAGGGGCCUGCGGACCAUCAGCUAGUUGGUAAGGUAAUGGCUUACCAAGGCUAAGACGGGUAGGGGGCGUGAGAGCGUGGCCCCCCACACUGGUACUGAGACACGGACCAGAUACCUGCGGGUAGCAGCAGCAAGGAAUAUUGCCCAAUGGACGAAAGUCUGAGGCAGCAACACCGCGUGGAGGAUGAAGGCCCUCGGGUCGUAAACUCCUUUUCUGGGGGAAGAGAAAGGACGGUACCCCAGGAAUAAGUCUCGGCUAACUACGUGCCAGCAGCCGCGGUAAAACGUAGGAGGCGAGCGUUAUCCGGAUUUAUUGGGCGUAAAGCGCAUGUAGGCGGUUUUCUAAGUCGGACGUGAAAGCUCCUGGCUCAACUGGGAGAGGUCGUUCGAAACUAGGAAACUUGAGGAUGGUAGAGGUGAGUGGAAUUCCCGGUGUAGUGGUGAAAUGCGUAGAUAUCGGGAGGAACACCAGUGGCGAAGGCGGCUCACUGGGCCAUUCCUGACGCUCAGAUGCGAAAGCUAGGGGAGAGAACGGGAUUAGAAACCC